GAUGAACGCUGGCGGCGUGCCUAAUACAUGCAAGUCGAGCGGACAGACGAGGAGCUUGCUCCUCUGACGUUAGCGGCGGACGGGUGAGUAACGCGUGGAUAACCUACCUAUAAGACUGGGAUAACUUCGGGAAACCGGAGCUAAUACCGGAUAAUAUAUUGAACCGCAUGGUUCAAUAGUGAAAGACGGUUUUGCUGUCACUUAUAGAUGGAUCCGCGCCGCAUUAGCUAGUUGGUAAGGUAACGGCUUACCAAGGCAACGACGCGUAGCCGACCUGAGAGGGUGAUCGGCCACACUGGAACUGAGACACGGUCCAGACUCCUACGGGAGGCAGCAGUAGGGAAUCUUCCGCAAUGGGCGAAAGCCUGACGGAGCAACGCCGCGUGAGUGAUGAAGGUCUUCGGAUCGUAAAACUCUGUUAUUAGGGAAGAACAAAUGUGUAAGUAACUAUGCACGUCUUGACGGUACCUAAUCAGAAAGCCACGGCUAACUACGUG
rnacentral:rRNA from 1 species